rnacentral:lncRNA from 1 species
GAUCAUGUGGCUUUUGUCUUUCAUCCUAAUUAUGUGGUAUAUCACAUUGAUUGAGCUGCAUAUGUUAACUCAUUCUUGAAUCCCAGUGAUAAAUCCCACUUGGUCAUGACAUAUUCUUCUUUUAAUGUGCUAUUAAAUUCAGUUUGCUAUAUUUUGCUCUAAUCUUCAUUAUUUCCUUCCUUAGGCCAGUUUUUAGCUUAGCAGUUUAUUAUUUUGCUAGUUCCUUGACUUGUAAUGUUAGGCUGCUUGAAAUAUGUCUUUUCUUAAUGUAGGUACUUAUUGCUAUAAACUGCUUUUGCUGCAUCAAAUAAUUUUCAGUAUUUUUGUUUCCAUUUUCAUUUGUCUCAAAAUAUUUUCUAAUUUCCCUAUGAUUUCUUCUUUGACCCAAUGGUUGUUUAAGAGUGUGGUUUAAUUUCCAUGUAUUUAUCAACUUUCCCAUUUUCCUUUUGUUGUUGAUUUCUGGUUUCACUCCAUUGUAGUCAGAAAAAAUACUUGGAAUGAUUUCAAUCUUCUUAAAUUUGUUAAGAAUCAUUUUGUAACCUAGUAUAUGAUUUAUCCUGGAGAAUGUUUCAUGUGUUUGAAAAGAACACGCAUUCUGCUAGUUUUGGGUGAAAUGUUCUGUGCCUACCUGUUAGGUCCAUUUGGUCUAUAAAGCUGUUUAAGUCUGCUGGUUUUGUUUUUGUUUGUUUGUUUUUGAGACGGAGUCUCACUCUGUCGCCCAGGCUGGAGUACAAUGGCACAGUCUCAGCUCACUGCAACCUCUGCCUCCCAGGUACAAGCGAUUCUCCUGCCUCAGCCUCCCAAGUAGCUGGGACUACAGGUGCACGCCACCACACCUGGCUGAUUUUUUUGUAUUUUUAGUAGAGAUGGGGUUUCACUAUGUUGGCCAGGCUGGUCUCGAACUCCUGACCUCAUGAUCCACCAAACUCGGCCUCCCAAAGUGCUGCGAUUACAGGUGUGAGCCACCACACCCAGCCUGCUGUUUCUUUACUGAUUUUUCUGUCCACGUGAUCUGUCCAUUAUUGUAAGUAGGAUAUUUAAUUCUCCUACUAUUAUUGUAUUACUGUCUAUUUUUCCCUUCAGAACUGUCAAUGUCUGCUUUAUAUAUUUAGAUAUUCUGAUUUUGAGUGCAUAUAUAUUAAUAAUUAUUCUCUCUUCAUGUUGAGUUGACCCUUUUAUCAUUAUGUAAUUAACUUCCUUGUCCCUUGUGACAGUUUUUGACUUAAAGUCUAUUUUGUGCAGAUAGUGUAAGUCUGCUUAUUUCUUAAGGUCCAUUAAAUAUGGGUUAUACCAAUAGAUUUGAGAAAAAAAGUCUGUAUUCGAUUUUUUUUACUUGUCUGCAUAUAGCACUUUAUCUAAAACAACUGAAUAUUAGAAGUUUAUAACCAAUUAUUCAAUGGCCUGCCCAGAGAAGCACUAAGCAACUGAUGAGUUCUCCACAGCAGAGAGGACAAAAAGACAAUGGGGAUCAGUGUCAAUUAACAACCAGAAGCCUCUUCAUGCUAUUUCCUGAGCCCUGUAAGCUUCAGAGUCACAUAUACCCCAGGGUUCUAGAACAACAAAAACUGAUACCUGACUUCUCAUUAACUUCACUCAGAGGAGCCUUGCAGCCAGAUCUUAUGUAAUCUUUAAAAAACAAAUAUAUAAUAUAGCUUGCCAAUCAAUUAUCUGAAAAAAUUUCCAACUGCAUCAUAAACAUUCCUAUAAUCCUUUUCCUCAGGAAAGGCCUCCCCCACUGCUUCUUUCUGAGAAAGAAGAAAAGAGAUACCCAAUUACAUUUUAAAGAAUUUUUAGCAGUUCCCACAAAGGCCAAAUUCUGGGUUUCAUUUUAUUUUGAGACAUUUAAGAUCUGUGAAAUCAUGUUCCACACAAUCACUCUCCUAAAUAUUCUUCACUUACUUGAAGUUGCCAUGUUCUACUACUUAAUUUUC